GUAUCAAUAAGCGGAGGAAAAGAAACCAACAGGGAUUGCCUCAGUAACGGCGAGUGAAGCGGCAACAGCUCAAAUUUGAAAUCUGGCCUCUUCGGGGUCCGAGUUGUAAUUUGUAGAGGGUGUUUCGGGCGAGGGGCCGGCCUAAGUUCCUUGGAACAGGACGUCAUAGAGGGUGAGAAUCCCGUAUGCGGCCGGUCGUCGAGCCCAUGUGAAACCCCUUCGACGAGUCGAGUUGUUUGGGAAUGCAGCUCUAAAUGGGUGGUAAAUUUCAUCUAAAGCUAAAUACCGGCCAGAGACCGAUAGCGCACAAGUA
rnacentral:rRNA from 1 species